rnacentral:rRNA from 1 species
GAUGAACGCUGGCAGAAUGCCUAACACAUGCAAGUCGAACGGAGAUAUUUAGAAGCUUGCUUUUGAAUAUUUUAGUGGCGAACGGGCGAGUAACGCGUUACUAAUCAACCCUAGAGACGAGGACAACUACGGAGACGUAGCUAAACCUCGAUACGUUCAUGGGCAUGAAAAAACCAUGAAGAAAUAUUUAUAGCUCUGGGACGAGGUAGCGUCCUAUCAGGUAGUUGGCGGGAUAAAAGCCCACCAAGCCUAUGACGGGUAGCCGGUCUGAGAGGAUGUCCGGCCGCAAUGGAACUGAGACACGGUCCAUACCCUUACGAGGGGCAGCAGUGGGGAAUUUUGGACAAUGGACGAAAGUCUGAUCCAGCAAUUCUGCGUGCGAGAUGAAGCAUUACGGUGUGUAAAUCGCUUUUUUGAGGGAGAACGAAUGAUAGUACCUCAAGAAUAAGUGACGGCUAACUCUGUG